GCGAACGGGUGAGUAAUAUAUCGAGACGUACCUAGUAGUGGGGGAUAACCCAUCGAAAGAUGGGCUAAUACCGCAUAAUCUCUGAGGAGGAAAGAUGGGGACCAGAGAUGGCCUGUUGCUACAUGAGCGAUCGAUACCCGAUUAGCUAGUUGGUGAGGUAAAAGCUUACCAAGGCGAUGAUCGGUAGCUGUUCUGAGAGGAAGACCAGCCACACUGGGACUGAGACACGGCCCAGACUCC
rnacentral:rRNA from 1 species